rnacentral:rRNA from 1 species
GUCUAUGGCCAUGCCACCCUGAACAUGCCCAAUUUCAUCUGAUCUCAGAAGCUAAGCAGGCUCAGGCCUGGUUAGUACUUGGAUAGGAGACUACCUAGGAAUACCAGGUGCUGUAGGCG